rnacentral:rRNA from 1 species
AUUGAACGCUGGCGGAAUGCUUUACACAUGCCAGUCGAGCGGCAGCGCGGCCUUCGGGCUGGCGGCGAGCGGCGAACGGGUGAGUAAUGCAUCGGAACAUGCCCAGUCGUGGGGGAUAACACUUCGAAAGAAGUGCUAGUACCGCAUACGUCCUGAGGGGGAAAGCGGGGGAUCGCAAGACCUCACGCGAUUGGAGUGGCCGAUGUCCGAUUAGCUAGUUGGUGGGGUAAAGGCCUACCAAGGCGACGAUCUGUAGCUGGUCUGAGAGGAUGAUCAGCCACACUGGGACUGAGACACGGCCCAGACUCCUACGGGAGGCAGCAGUGGGGAAUUUUGGACAAUGGGGGCAACCCUGAUCCAGCCAUUCCGCGUGAGUGAAGAAGGCCUUCGGGUUGUAAAGCUCUUUCGGCAGGAACGAAACGGUGGGCUCUAACAUAGUCCGCUAAUGACGGUACCUGAAGAAGAAGCACCGGCUAACUACGUG